AUAUUAUUUCAUGACAAAAUUUAUGAUGGUUAUCUGCCACAUAUUUUUGGUAGGGUCUACUUUUUAUUAAUAUAAACUAUCUUUUUUUUCUUAUUGAAUGGUUUUGCUUUGAAUUCCAUUUUCUUAAUAUAUUUGUCCUUCCCAUUAUUUUCAACCUUUUUAACAUUCUAAUUUAAAUACUUGUGUACAGUAUCUCUCAGCAAUUUUUAGAAGUUUUAUCACUGUUCUUUAUUUUUUAAGUUCAAGAAACAUUCUUUCCUGUUACAUGUAUGCGCAAAUAUACAUGCACCAAAUAUUUGAAAUACAAAAGACCUGCUGCCUCAAAGAACUUACACUAUACUCUUAAUAUAUUUUUUUCUGAAUAUUAAUCAAAUAUAUCCUCACUGAAAAAUAAUUUGAUACCACAAUUUCUAACAAUUGUGGAGUCAUAAUAUUUGUGAACAUCUUUCUAAAAAUUUACUGAGACUGUUUCAGAAAUAUCUUCUCACUGUAUUACCAGAUAUUAGUAAUCUUGGCUGAAAAGAUUAAAAAGCAAAAUAUAUGUUUUGUAAGCUGAAAAGAAAUAUAUUGAAAAGAUACUAACUAAAAAAAAAUCACUCAGUAGAAAAGGGGAGGAAUAAAGGAAUUUAAGCAGUACCCAGCCCUAUAACUGAAAUCAUUUCAGCGAAACAUUCCUUACUGCCAGUGCUGCUGACCAUCAGACAUGGCAGCUUGCUUUACUGCUACAACUCUAGACUCUGGAUGUGGCCCCUGAUGUCACUGCCACUUCUGUCCCUGGAAACCACUGCCACCUCCUGGCACCAUAAUGGAUCCCACAUUGUCUGAAUGAAGAGCAUCUGAAUCUUAUACUUAGGUCACUUGCUCAUGCUCCCAAAUAAGGGAUGCCUGGGAAGAAUUUCUUAGUUUUUAUCUGAGGUCUUCCACUUCUAGAUUCAGGUAUUGGUUCUCUCUGCAACUAAGACUUACAGGAUAGGUAUAGGUAUUCCAAUACAGAAGGAGAGUUCAUAUUCAGGGUAACAGAAGCAAUAAUAGCAAGAGAAAGACAAAUAUUUACUAUUCUAUAGGAGAAAUUAAAGAGACUGAUGAGUUAAGAUCUGUUGAAUUUUGGAGUGUAAGAGGUUAACAUUGGUUCAUUAAAAUUUAAGCUAUCUCAUUUAGCUGCUUUAAUUUUUUUUCUGCAAGGUAACUAAAUAUGAGUGGUUAAGUGACUUUAUUGAAAACUAGCAUGUUCAUUAUUUCAUACAUUUAGCAGAUACUGAGCACUUGAUAUGUAUUAGACAUAAUUCCUAUUGAUGUAGAAUAGAAAAUAAUAAUGGAUCUGAAGGAAGGGUAGACAUUUUCUAUACUCAGAUAUCUUAUAUUCUAAUAAAAGAGGACUGAUAAAAAGCAAGUAAUCAGAUUGGAAAUCAUGAUAUUUUCAGAAAGUGAUGAUUUAUAUUAUGGGGAGUGACUAGGAAGUGAUCAGGAAUGGAAGUCAGAAGGAGAAGUCGGGUUACAUGAGGAAAUAACUUUAUAAUUAAAACUUGGAUAAUUAAUAGGCAGCUUGCAGAGGUCCAAAGUAAGGGCUUCUCAGGCACAAAAACCAGCUUAUUCAAAAGUGUAAUGAAUAAACAAGCUUGGGGUUUUCAAGAUAACGAAAGAAGGCUUGUAUUGCUGUGACAUAAAGGAGCAAGGGGAGAAUAGUGGUGUGAGACUUAAUAAGCAAUCUAGAAUAUAGCUCAUUUAGUACAUUAUAGGUCAUGAUUUUAGAUGAAAGUUCAAUAUUAGUAUGACCACUUGUGUUUAUUUUUUCUGAAAAUUUGCAAUUUUUAUCUUUCUGUUCAAUAUUCAACAUUUUUCCACUUAUAUGUUUUUCUUGUGAUUUUUCUUUAUUAUAGUCUGCCAUUCAAUGGUAUACUUUUCAGUCUAAAGCCUCUUAUCUUUCUUCAGUUCAGAUAUUUUCUCACAUUACUUCUUUGACUUUUUCCCCCUCCAUCCUAUGCAUUCUUAUGUAAUAUGAUGCCUUGUCAGUGGAAAUAUGGAUAUACAUGUCAUAUCUCUUAGUACUAAAUUUCUAUUAGAGAGUAAUAUUUUGCUGAUUCUUCCAGUUUAUAUUUAUGUAUAAUCCUGUCUCGUUUGCUCUUUAGGGUAGUUGUUAAGAAUCAAAUUUUGUUGUUGUUUUGUUUUGUUUGUAGGAUAGAGUAGUAUUCCAAGUGCUAGGAAUUGAGUUUUAAAAAAAUGUCAUAUUCUUCCUUAUUUUCUAGUUUAACUAUUUAUCAUUUUUAAAGUUUUGUUUACUUAAUAUUCUUACUUAUUUACUUAUUUUAUUACUUUAAAGUAUAUUUAGUGUCAUAUUUCACUUAUUUUAACAUUACAAACUUAACAUUAGAUAAAAAUUAUUUAUUUUAAUAAUUUACUUAUUAAGUGUAUUAUUUAAUAUUUUGGUCUUUUUCUUCUAUUACAUUUUAUCAUUUUCAUUAACUUCAUUUCCUUGAACCAUGAUUUUUUGUUAUUGAUGGUAAUGGCUUUGUUUUGUUGUUUUUAUUUUGGUUAAAAACUUUUUUAAUGUUGUUAUAGUCUACAUUUCAUUUUAAGGAAAAGAAUUUAAUUUGAACCAUAUUGGCAGCUGGUAGCUAGAGUGUAUUUUCUCAGCAAAGUGAAGAUGAAGUAUUUCAUUUACAUCCAAAUGGACUUUCACAUAUAUGAUCUACAAGCUAGUUCUCUGUGUACAAGAUUGUACAUCCCCUUGCAAUAACAUAGCUCAUUACACUCCUACCAUUGUUUUGCUUCUCUGUUCUCAUUAGUCAUUGGGAAUCUUCGUCAUCAAAAUUUAUUAAUUUACCUUUAGCUUUUGAUGCAGGGAAUCCUUAUGCUAUUUAUCUGAGAUUUUGAAAGGCACUUUAAUUACCAAUUACAUUGAGUUUAAUCACAUGACUGCAAUUAAUUUAAUCAUGUGAGUCAGAUAUUUUUAAACUAGAAUUUUGAACAAGUUUAAGGGUAAAAGAAGUGCAUUUUUAAUGUGCAACAUCUCAAAAACUUACCUUUCAUCUUUUCUCAAGGAGUUCCUGGGACAUCUGUUUCACCAAAAUGGUAGAGGAAACCCUAGAAAUGAUUCAGGGAGAAAAGUUUUAUUUAAAAUAUUUUGUGUCAUUUGCCUUUGUAAAUUAGCUGCUCUAAAUAGUUUACACAUAUAAACAAUUUAUGUCUUGUAACACCCCUGAGAAGUAGGAUUUGAACCCAGUUAGACCUGGCUUCGAAAUCUGUGCUCGUUAACCCUGUAAUGUGCUCCUUCUCCUUAUGCAGUACUUGGAAGGAAAUUCUCAGAAUUAGAGGAAUGGGAUGUUUGAGGCCACAGCUAUGCAGAAGUCUUUGAAAGCUAUGUACCUCCCCAGGUCUUUUGGUGGCUAAAGGAAAGCUGAUAGAACCUGUGAUGUUUGAUCUCAAGGUUAAUUGAAUUCACUAUUUUACUUCAAUUAAAGAAAGAUAUAAAAAGGAAGUUUAAUUGAGGGACAGUUGGAUGAUGUGAGAAGGCACAUUAUAAAGGACCAAAGGAAAUUUAAAAUGUAGAAAAAAGUAGUAAUUACAAACUUACACAAACAAAGAACUCUGUUGAAACAGAAAAACAAAAUGUCAUUUGAGUGUACUACCUGGGUCAAGGGUAACAGUAUUUAGCUACUCGUAAUAAUGAAAGCACCAAAUGCUGAUU
rnacentral:lncRNA from 1 species